rnacentral:rRNA from 1 species
UACAGAGGUGCCAAGCGUUAGGCGGAAUCACUGGGCUUAAAGCGCGUGUAGGUGGGUCGUUAAGUGUCCGCGUGAAAUCCCACGGCUCAACCGUGGAACUGCCGGGCAUACUGGCGAUCUUGAGGCAUUCAGGGGCGAGCGGAACAAGUGGUGGAGCGGUGAAAUGCGUAGAUAUCAUUUGGAACGCCAAUGGUGAAAACAACUCGCUGGGGACGUGCUGACGCUGAGACACGAAAGCCAGGGGAGCGAACGGG